rnacentral:lncRNA from 1 species
GUUGGUUUUGGGCUCCUGUUUUGCACCGAGAAGCCUUCUGCAAGUCGCUUUUUCUGACACAUUAAGUAACAGCUUCUAGGAAGAUACAAGUUUGCUGACAAAAUGACACAUUUAAGCUCCUCUUCUCCAUCUCUUGUCAUACACUUUUUGAUCUUAAAGUUAUCCUGGGGAAGGAGACAGGGGAUAUUGGAGGGUUUCCUUGAAGGCAACCAGAUGGAGCAGUGCUAGUAGCAGACGUGGGGAAGCAGGUGAGGGCCGGGAGGUCUUCAGGCAAGAACUGUGCUGCAGGGCACCUUCUCACACCCUCCCAACAGUCUGCUUCCCAGGCAGCCUCCACCCAGGCUGCCCCUCUACACAAAGCCCUCUUCUCUCACCACAGCUCCUCAGGCCUACUCAGGAAGUGCCUUUACAGCCCAGAACUUAAAUAGAAGAAAGCCCAGUCCUCUCUUCUCUGAUGGCUGGGAAGACCAGAAAGACACAAACAAAACCAAAAACGUACAGUCAUGCCUGUUUGCUGACUUUUAGGGAGGACAGGAGAUCUUUGCAGUCUCUCCAGGGGAAGUCUUUGCCCUGGAAAGCUACCUUUUAAUGCCAAGUGGCUCC